rnacentral:rRNA from 1 species
AGUGGACGCUGGCGGUAGGCCUAACACAUGCAAGUCGAACGGCAGCACAGUAAGAGUUUGCUCUUACGGGUGGCGAGUGGCGGACGGGUGAGGAAUACAUCGGCAUCUACUUUUUCGUGGGGGAUAACGUAGGGAAACUUACGCUAAUACCGCAUACGACCUACGGGUGAAAGCAGGGGAUCUUCGGACCUUGCGCGAUUGAAUGAGCCGAUGUCGGAUUAGCUAGUUGGCAGGGUAAAGGCCACACAAGGCGACGAUCCGUAGCUGGUCUGAGAGGAUGAUCAGCCACACUGGAACUGAGACACGGACCAGGCUCCUACGGGAAGCAGCAGUGGGGAAUAUUGGACAAUGGGCGCAAACCUGAUCCAGCCAUACCGCGUGGGUGAAGAAGGCCUUCGGGUUGUAAAGCCCUUUUUUUGGGAAAAAAGAGCAGCAGGUUAAUACCCCGCUGUUCUGACGGUACCCAAAGAAUAAGCACCGGCUAACUUCGUG